rnacentral:rRNA from 1 species
AUUGAACGCUGGCGGCAGGCCUAACACAUGCAAGUCGAACGAGUGGCGGACGGGUGAGUAAUGUCUGGGAAACUGCCCGAUGGAGGGGGAUAACUACUGGAAACGGUAGCUAAUACCGCAUACCAUCGGAUGUGCCCAGAUGGGAUUAGCUAGUAGGGGGGGUAACGGCUCACCUAGGCGACGAUCCCUAGCUGGUCUGAGAGGAUGACCAUCCACAAUGGAACGGAGAAACGGUGCAGACUCCUACGGGAGGCUGGAGGGGGGAGUAUGAUACGAUGAGCGCAAGGCUGAUGCAGCCAUGCCUCGUGUAUGAGGAAGGCAAACGGGAGGUGAAGUACUUGCAGCGAUGAGGCGUUACUCGCAGAAGAAGCACCGGCUAACUCCAUGCCAGCGUCCGCGGUAAUAC